CUUUUUUCAAGAAAGGUCGUGGCCGGUAGCAAGAAACAAAAUAAAAAAUGCAAAAAUAUGAAAUAAAUUGGAAUAUAAUUACAGGAAGAAACGUCCUGAAAUUUGGGAACUUUUAAAAUUGAAAUGCGAUUUACGAUUUGUUCAGCGAUGGAAUAUUUUAACGCAAAUGAUUUUGGAAAGGAUUUAUACUACUAACUACAGAGGACGUACACCUUUGAUGUCAAUAAAAUAUUGCAUAUAUGGCGUAAGGGACCUUCUGGGAAAAUAUGGUGCUCCUAUAAGACAUAUUUAGAAGUUCUUCCAAAGCCAUUGAAAACUAAAUGUGUUAACGUUUUUAUUUUAAUAGUUAAUAUAUACGAAACUUAUAUUCCCAAUGUGCAAAUUUUAAG
rnacentral:sRNA from 1 species